rnacentral:sRNA from 1 species
CGGAGAUGAAGUGAUGA